rnacentral:tRNA from 1 species
GGAAAGAUGGUCGAGUUGGUUUAAGGCACCGGUCUUGAAAACCGGCGACGGUGUGAGCCGUCCGUGGGUUCGAAUCCCACUCUUUCCG